UACGGGGGGGGCAAGCGUUGUUCGGAAUUACUGGGCGUAAAGGGCUCGUAGGUGGCCAACUAAGUCAGACGUGAAAUCCCUCGGCUUAACCGGGGAACUGCGUCUGAUACUGGAUGGCUUGAGUUUGGGAGAGGGAUGCGGAAUUCCAGGUGUAGCGGUGAAAUGCGUAGAUAUCUGGAGGAACACCGGUGGCGAAGGCGGCAUCCUGGACCGGCAUUGACGCUGAUGAGCGAAAGCCAGGGGAGCAAACGGG
rnacentral:rRNA from 1 species